rnacentral:lncRNA from 1 species
UCUCCCAAUCCCAUUUCGGUUUUCCCUUUUCUCAAGCACUCUCUCCCCUCCGCUAUUUCCUCUCUGCCUCUCUCUCUCUCUCUUUCUCUCCCCUUCCUCUCUUCCUCCAAAUCACUAUAUCUCUUUGUGGAUUUCGACGGUAGCAAAGAGGAGAGCCAAACCACAGUGGCAGUGGAGCAGUCCAGUGGCACAACAUGGGACUGAUGGGCAGUUGACGGCGGACGAGGGCAGUCAUUAAUCGUUGCAGAUCCAUGGAUAAUUUUUCAAGUUUUGUUGAGAGUAUUUACUUUUUAAGUUUUGUUGCGUCUGUUGAAUGGAUAAGUUUUGAGCUUAUAUAUUUUGGUGUUCCGGUAUCUCAUUAUCUUCUAUUCGUAUUUUUAGUAUUGCUGAUUCACUUUAAGUUUGUUUACUUGCUGAGAUAAUGCAAUCUGAGUUGGGAUUUAAUAUAGCUUCUUAAAAAGUACUUGAUCUGAAAGCAAUAUGAGCAAGUCGAUACAACCUAAUCCCUGAACUCGG